GUGCUGUAGACCCUGGUCCUCGGUCACAUGCUCGUGUGUAUGAUGAUGAAGGGAGCGGCCAUGUAGGUGACGUUCAACCGGCUGGAACACAGUGAUCAACAAACAGGCCACGGUGAGGAGCUCUGUCUGCCAGCCCUGGUCUCGGCUUUGGCUCUGCUCCCACACUGGGGAAUUAUCGGCUCCUCUUUGUUCAUCUGUCAGCAUGGAGCGCCUCUGUCCCGGUGUAAGAGAGCCAUCGUGAAAAUGAUCGUUCACUCGUUUCCUACCAGCCAACACUACUAAUUAGCUUGAUGUGGUGCCUAGGUCAGCUGGAAGUACUCUUUUCAUCAUGUGCAGUUCGGAGGCAUUGAUUUAGGUGUGGAUGAAACAGAGCUUGCACCAUUAA